rnacentral:tmRNA from 1 species
GGGGCCGACUGGAUUCGACAUCGUGGGUCUGAGGUGAGGAGCAGGUCGUGGUCUCCUCGCCACGCUAAACAGGGGUACUGUCAAAUUAAUUGGCAAAACUCAUUCUUUUGGGCAGCGUCAGCUCGCCCUUGCCGCAUAACAUAAGUCGGCACGUCAAUCCCAGGUUCUUUCCCGUCCUGGGUGCGAUGUCAUCUUAGGGAGAUGCUCUUCGGCACGUAGUCGGUAUGGCCGAAGCUAAGAUUGAACCGGCUCGGGAACGCAACGCCUGUCGGCGCGCCGCGCGAACCUUAAACUCGAGCGACGACUAAGCUUGUAGAGC